rnacentral:rRNA from 1 species
UACGGGGGGGGCAAGCGUUGUUCGGAAUUACUGGGCGUAAAGGGCUCGUAGGUGGUCAACUAAGUCGGACGUGAAAUCCCUCGGCUUAACCGGGGAACUGCGUCUGAUACUGGAUGGCUUGAGUUUGGGAGAGGGAUGCGGAAUUCCAGGUGUAGCGGUGAAAUGCGUAGAUAUCUGGAGGAACACCGGUGGCGAAGGCGGCAUCCUGGACCGGUAUUGACGCUGAGGCGCGAAAGCCAGGGGAGCAAACGGG